GAUGAACGCUGGCGGCGUGCCUAACACAUGCAAGUCGAGCGAUUCUCUUCGGAGAAGAGCGGCGGACGGGUGAGUAACGCGUGGGUAACCUGCCCUGUACACACGGAUAACAUACCGAAAGGUAUGCUAAUACGGGAUAAUAUAUAAGAGUCGCAUGACUUUUAUAUCAAAGAUUUUUCGGUACAGGAUGGACCCGCGUCUGAUUAGCUUGUUGGCGGGGUAACGGCCCACCAAGGCGACGAUCAGUAGCCGACCUGAGAGGGUGAUCGGCCACAUUGGAACUGAGACACGGUCCAAACUCCUACGGGAGGCAGCAGUGGGGAAUAUUGCACAAUGGGCGCAAGCCUGAUGCAGCAACGCCGCGUGAGCGAUGAAGGCCUUCGGGUCGUAAAGCUCUGUCCUCAAGGAAGAUAAUGACGGUACUGAGAGAAGCCCGWUAUUCUUG
rnacentral:rRNA from 1 species